AAAACACAGAGAAAUCAUCUUUGCAGUAUUUUAGCUGGUAAUGGUAAUUCAAUUGUUCGAUUCAAUAUCAUCAGUGAACCAUUGAGAGAGGAAAUGAAUGUUAAAGACUGUGUUGAAGUAGGCUAUGCUGAUUUAAAUUUGAGGAAACAAAUAUUGUUUGAGAGUAAAGAUAGAAUUUCACUGCCAGCUAUGAGUUCUGAUAAUAAAGAGAUAAUUGGUACUUUAGAGGUGACAUUACUUGGUUUAGAUGCUAUUCGAGAAAAUUUGGCCCAGUAUGUAUCAAUCAAUAGCUCAUCAUCAUGAACUACAGAUAGGCUAUUGCAUAUCAAACAA